GUGGGGAAUAUUGCACAAUGGGCGAAAGCCUGAUGCAGCAACGCCGCGUGAGGGACGACGGCCUUCGGGUUGUAAACCUCUUUUAGUAGGGAAGAAGCGAAAGUGACGGUACCUGCAGAAACAGCACCGGCUAACUACGUGCCAGCAGCCGCGGUAAUACGUAGGGUGCAAGCGUUAUCCGGAAUUAUUGGGCGUAAAGAGCUCGUAGGCGGUCUGUCGCGUCUGCUGUGAAAACUGGAGGCUCAACCUCCAGCCUGCAGUGGGUACGGGCAGACUAAGGUGCGGUAGGGGAGAUUGGAAUUCCUGGUGUAGCGGUGGAAUGCGCAGAUAUCAGGAGGAACACCGAUGGCGAAGGCAGAUCUCUGGGCCGUAACUGACGCUGAGGAGCGAAAGCGUGGGGAGCGAACAGGAUUAGAAACCCCAGUAGUCC
rnacentral:rRNA from 1 species